GUACUCAUUUCAGCAGCACAUAUACUAAAAUUGGAAUAAUACAGAGAAGAUUAGCAUGGCCCCUGGGCAAGGGUGACUUGCAAGUUUGUGAAGUCCAUACUUUU